rfam:Tsukamurella pulmonis strain DSM 44142 genome assembly, contig: Ga0074760_12
UGGGUUCCGGUUCACGGUCCUGGCGCACGCCAGGGGCGACCCGGCGACC